UGAUGGCAUUUUCAUGACACAUCCAAUCGGACGCUCAUCGUGACGUGCACCCAACAUGGCUGAGC
rnacentral:snoRNA from 1 species